rnacentral:rRNA from 1 species
AAGCUUGUAGUUGAAUUUCGGGGUCAGUAGGUUGGUCGUGCCACCGGUACGUACUGGUCUCACUGAUUCCUCCUUCCUGAUGAGCUGUAGUGCCAUUAAUUUGGUGUUGCAGGGAAUCUGGACUGUUACUUUGAAAAAAUUAGAGUGUUUAAAGCAGGCUAACGCUUGAAUACAUUAGCAUGGAAUAAUGAAAUAGGACGUUCGAUCCUAUUUUGUUGGUUUCUAGGAUUGACGUAAUGAUUAAUAGGGAUAGUUGGG